rnacentral:rRNA from 1 species
UACAGAGGUGGCAAGCGUUGUUCGGAAUUACUGGGCGUAAAGGGCGCGUAGGCGGUCUUCUAAGUCUUGUGUGAAAUCCCUCGGCUUAACUGAGGAACUGCACGGGAUACUGGAUGACUUGAGUUCGGGAGAGGGAAGCGGAAUUCCGGGUGUAGCGGUGAAAUGCGUAGAGAUCGGGAGGAACAUCAGUGGCGAAGGCGGCCCUCUGGACCAGCACUGACGCUGAGGCACGAAAGCGUGGGGAGCAAACAGG